UGACUAUAUGUUUAACGGCCGCGGUAUCUUAACCGUGCGAAGGUAGCGUAAUCACUUGUCUUUUAAAUGAAGACCUGUAUGAAUGGCAUCACGAGGGCUUAACUGUCUCCCCUCUCCAGUCAAUGAAAUUGACCUCCCCGUGCAGAGGCGGGGAUAUUUAUAUAAGACGAGAAGACCCUGUGGAGCUUUAGACCUAAAGUAAACCACGUUUAAUGUACUAGAAUUAAUAGCAAAAACUUAGUGGACAUUUAUUUAAGUGUCUUUGGUUGGGGCGACCGCGGAGUAAAACAUAACCUCCAUGUGGACGGGGAUACUUUCCCUAAAACUCAGAGCCUCCACUCCAAGCAACAGAAAUUCUGACCUUACUGAUCCGGUACAACCGAUUAACGAACCCAGUUACCCCAGGGAUAACAGCGCAAUCCCCUCUCAGAGCUCAUAUCGACGAGGGGGUUUACGACCUCGAUGUUGGAUCAGGACAUCCUAGUGGUGCAGCCGCUAUUGAGGGUUCGUUUGUUCAACGAUUAAAGUCCUACGUGAUCUGAGUUCA
rnacentral:rRNA from 1 species